rnacentral:lncRNA from 1 species
CCGCCGUGGAUAGUAAACUUGAAAAUGAUAGCAGAUGAAAUUCUAAAAAUACACUUUAUUCGUAGUAUGUGUAUGUUCAAAGUAUACAGAAAAACGCAAACCGGAAGUCUAAUCUGACUUAAAAUUUCGUCUAAUGACGGGACAAUAUCCGGAUGCCUUUUUUCUCGUUUUUCUCCCAAAAUAACUCAAUCUGAAUAAUCA